UGUCUCUAAUUCGCUUGGUGCAGGUCGGGACUAAUUCGCCGGCGGCAAUCACGUCGGCGGUGAUUAUUCUACGAAGCUUAGAUGUACGAAGUUAUCAACAAUGUUCCUUUGCGGCGAAAUUUGGGUCCCGCCUUGCAUCAACUGAAUUGGAGACUGC
rnacentral:pre_miRNA from 1 species